AGCCCCGGGCUCAACCUGGGAAUGGCAUCCGGAACGGGCAGGCUAGAGUGCAGGAGAGGAAGGUAGAAUUCCCGGUGUAGCGGUGAAAUGCGUAGAGAUCGGGAGGAAUACCAGUGGCGAAGGCGGCCUUCUGGACUGACACUGACGCUGAGGUGCGAAAGCGUGGGUAGCAAACAGGAUUAGAUACCCUGGUAGUCCACGCCGUAAACGAUGUCGACUAGCCGUUGGGUCCCUUGAGGACUUAGUGGCGCAGUUAACGCGAUAAGUCGACCGCCUGGGGAGUACGGCCGCAAGGUUAAAACUCAAAUGAAUUGACGGGGGCCCGCACAAGCGGUGGAGCAUGUGGUUUAAUUCGAUGCAACGCGAAGAACCUUACCUACCCUUGACAUCCUGCGAACUGGGUAGAGAUACCCGGGUGCCUUCGGGAGCGCAGAGACAGGUGCUGCAUGGCUGUCGUCAGCUCGUGUUGUGAAAUGUUGGGUUAAGUCCCGUAACGAGCGCAACCCUUAUCCCUAUUUGCCAGCGGUCCGGCCGGGAACUCUAGGGAGACUGCCGGUGACAAACCGGAGGAAGGUGGGGACGACGUCAAGUCAUCAUGGCCCUUACGGGUAGGGCUACACACGUGCUACAAUGGCCGGUACAAAGGGUUGCGAAAGCGCGAGCUGAAGCCAAUCCCGGAAAGUCGGUCUCAGUCCGGAUCGGAGUCUGCAACUCGACUCCGCGAAGUCGGAAUCGCUAGUAAUCGUGCAUCAGAAUGGCACGGUGAAUACGUUCCCGGGCCUUGUACACACC
rnacentral:rRNA from 1 species